UGCUCAGGCAAUCCACGGCAGCUGCUCUCCAAAUGUCAGCGCCAGCCCGGUCCAAAGAGCUUGAAAGGCACCAAGCUGGAGGACUUUGUUCUGUACCUUUCUCGCCCACAUUUUCCCCAAGCACUCCCAGGAACCUGGCAACAGGCAGCCGUACUCUCUCGAGUGCCGCCUUGUGGCCAAGCUCGGAACAUCAGCGAUGUACUUUGAACUCCGCGGCUCGGCUCCAAGGCUGAAUGCCACUCGCACAAAAGAACUCCUGUUGACAUCUCAUUUACAAUCUCCCCCAGGACACCGACAAGACCAUUUCAAUAAACCCGGCUCAGAAACACCUAUUGUUCUAAAUCUUCAACGAGCAACAGGCUUCCACCACAACCUAUUGUUUUGUAAAAUAAAGGAUUUAGAAGGAGAAGGAUUGAGACUGGGGACGCCAUGAAAAGAGGAAGGAAAAAAGUCCCUUUGACCCGAUGCUGUCAGAGAGCGUGCAAGAAGAAUGAAGUUAAUGGAUUUCCAUUUUUAUAAGAAGUGUGUAAGAAACGCCUGUUAUGUUUCUGAACUGGUGAUGGAGAAUUCUAAAUUUGCUGCCAACUUGGUACGUGGAGAAGCAAACCCCUGCCCACGGGUUUGCUAACUGAAAAGCCGCAGGCUAUACUUACCCUAUUCUCAGCCUGACCAAAGUUCUGAUAACCCCAGUAGCGGAGCACCAGGUUUCCGUGUGCAUCCAGAUCCGUGUAGAUUCUGGGCAACAGGAGAAAAACGAGUUUGGUUUGCCAGGAUACUUUGAGAAAUCCUCUUCUAAUUGGUCUCACCAGGAUCUCAGUGCUGUUGACUUUUGCAAGCAGCCACGACUUUUGGGAAGGUUAGCCCCUUCCCAGAUUUGGAGGCUGAAUCUUCAUUGAAGGGAAGACCGAUGGGAAUGCUUCUUGGAAGGAUUACCUCCCUGGUUAAAGCCACACAAGUUGGGGACAUCCCUUUUCUUCCUCUGGAUUUUGGCAUCACCAAGAGAUACCCUGAGCUGUGGCUGCCAUCUGGGGACCACAAAGAGCAUCUGGCUGAGAAGACAAGCCACAGUGAAGAUGAUGGGUGGAAAGAUGGCAGGAAGCUGGUUUGAAUGUAUUCAUUGGCCGCCUUACCUCUAGAUUUGCUGUUAUUUGAGAAAAUGAAUGCCUUUCCCACCUGA